UACAGAGGGUGCGAGCGUUGUCCGGAAUCACUGGGCGUAAAGGGCGCGUAGGUGGCGGCCCAAGUCCAUGGUGAAAGCUCGAUGCUCAACCCCGAGUCGGCCGUGCGAACUGCUGGGCUCGAGCACUGUAGAGGCAGGCGGAAUUCCGGGUGUAGCGGUGGAAUGCGUAGAGAUCCGGAAGAACACCGGUGGCGAAGGCGGCCUGCUGGGCAGUAGCUGACACUGAGGCGCGACAGCGUGGGGAGCAAACAGG
rnacentral:rRNA from 1 species